rnacentral:rRNA from 1 species
UCAGUACGGUCGGAAAUCGUACGUAGAGUGUAAAGGCAAAAGAGAGCUUGAUUGCAAGACAUACAGGUCGAGCAAGGAUGAAAAUCGGACUUAGUGAUCCGGUGGUUCUGCGUGGAAGGGCCAUCGCCCAACGGAUAAAAGCUACCCUGGGGAUAACAGGCUUAUCUCCCCCAAGAGUCCACAUCGACGGGGAGGUUUGGCACCUCGAUGUCGGCUCAUCACAUCCUGGGGCUGUAGUAGGUCCCA